AUUGAACGCUGGCGGCAGGCUUAACACAUGCAAGUCGAGCGGAGAGAGGUAGCUUGCUACUGAUCUUAGCGGCGGACGGGUGAGUAAUGCUUAGGAAUCUGCCUAUUAGUGGGGGACAACAUUUCGAAAGGAAUGCUAAUACCGCAUACGUCUUACGGGAGAAAGCAGGGGACCUUCGGGCCUUGCGCUAUCAGAUGAGCCUAGGUCGGAUUAGCUAGUUGGUGUGGUAAUGGCUCACCAAGGCGACGAUCCCUAGCUGGUUUGAGAGGAUGAUCAGCCACACUGGAACUGAGACACGGUCCAGACUCCUACGGGAGGCAGCAGUGGGGAAUAUUGGACAAUGGGCGCAAGCCUGAUCCAGCCAUGCCGCGUGUGUGAAGAAGGCCUUCGGGUUGUAAAGCACUUUCAGCGAGGAGGAAGGGGUGAGUGUUAAUAGUACUCAUCUUUGACGUUACUCGCAGAAGAAGCACCGGCUAACUCUGUGCCAGCAGCCGCCGUAAUAC
rnacentral:rRNA from 1 species